rnacentral:tRNA from 1 species
GUCGGUGUAACCAAGAGGUUAAGGUAGUAGUUUGUGGAUCUACGAUUCGCGAGUUCGAUUCUCGUCACCGACC